rnacentral:misc_RNA from 1 species
GAAAUGCGAUAAGUAAUGUGAAUUGCAGAAUUCAGUGAAUCAUCGAAUCUUUGAACGCACAUUGCGCCCGCCAGUAUUCUGGCGGGCAUGCCUGUUCGUGCGUCAUUUCAACCAUCAAGCCCCCGGCUUGUGUUGGGGACCUGCGGCUGCCCGCAGGCCCUGAAAAACAGUGGCGGGCUCGCUGUCACACCGAGCGUAGUAGCAUACAUUCUCGCUCAGGGCGUGCUGCGGGUUCCGGCCGUUAAACGACCUUCAUAACCCAAGGUUGACCUCGGAUCAGGUAGGAAGACCCGCUGAACUUAAGC